rnacentral:rRNA from 1 species
CCUACGGGAGGCUGCAGUGGGGAAUAUUGGACAAUGGGGGCAACCCUGAUCCAGCCAUGCCGCGUGUGUGAAGAAGGCCCUCGGGUUGUAAAGCACUUUCAGUGAGGAAGAACGCCUGGUGGUUAAUACCCAUCAGGAAAGACAUCACUCACAGAAGAAGCACCGGCUAACUCCGUGCCAGCAGCCGCGGUAAUACGGAGGGUGCGAGCGUUAAUCGGAAUUACUGGGCGUAAAGCGCGCGUAGGUGGCUUGAUAAGCCGGUUGUGAAAGCCCCGUGCUCAACCUGGGAACGGCAUCCGGAACUGUCAAGCUAGAGUGCAGGAGAGGAAGGUAGAAUUCCCGGUGUAGCGGUGAAAUGCGUAGAGAUCGGGAGGAAUACCAGUGGCGAAGGCGGCCUUCUGGACUGACACUGACACUGAGGUGCGAAAGCGUGGGUAGCAAACAGGAUUAGAUACCCUAGUAGUC